rnacentral:lncRNA from 1 species
CCAAUGGUUGCCAUUGUAGUAAUGACAUUUUCUUGGCAGUUAGAGGAACUCCCAAAUACUUGAAAGGUAACUCUCCAUAUACAUACCCAAGAUGAUUGACAAUGUGUUGUUGUGCAUCAGGAGAGACACCUCCAAAAUAGACAGAACUUCUACUCAGGUUAGCAGUCAUACCAGAAGCCUCAGUGAAUUGAGAGAAGAAUCUGAACAUGGUUGUGACAGCCUUCAAGUCUCCUUUGGCAAAUAACAGUAGAUCAUAUGCAAAGCUAAGAUGAGUAAUAUUUAACCUUUUACAACCAGGAUGGAAUAAAAAGUCUGGAUUUUUAUUUAGUUCCACAAGAGCCCUGUUAAGG